rnacentral:sRNA from 1 species
GCCAGGAGCGGUUCCAGAGCAUGCAUGCGUCUUACUACCACAAGGCCCACGCCUGCAUCAUGGUGUUUGAUGUACAGAGGAAAGUCACCUAUAAGAACCUGAGCGCCUGGUAUACAGAGCUUCGGGAGUUCAGACCAGAGAUCCCAUGCCUCGUGGUGGCCAAUAAAAUUGACGGUGGGGCCAUCCUGCACGUGGGUGUUAGCAAUUCACUGGGGACCCGCCCUCACACAUUUCCUCCUCCAUUCCCCAGGCAGGCAACCUUCAGUGAUUGGUCCUCCCUCCCACGAUAAGAUACAACCCUUGGUUGCUUGCAUUCUUCCCACCUUAUAAAGAAGCCAGCUAAGCCUACCUGCGCUCUUUCCAAGACACAGAUCCCUAUUAACUGAGCUCUUUCUAGGACAUGUUUCCCAAUCAUCCCUGCCUAUCCCACUUUCUGGAAUGAAGGCCUCCAGUGGCCCCCUCUCCAAACCCUCUUCCCUUCCCUUGACAGACAGACCAAUGUCCUACCUUCUCUUUACAGCAGACAUAAACGUGACCCAAAAAAGC